rnacentral:tRNA from 5 species
GCGCGAUUAGCUCAGCGGGAGAGCACUACCUUGACACGGUAGGGGUCACUGGUUCAAUCCCAGUAUCGCGCACCG